rnacentral:rRNA from 1 species
AAGCCUGAUGCAGCAACGCCGCGUGAGGGAUGACGGCCUUCGGGUUGUAAACCUCUUUUAGCAGGGAAGAAGCGAAAGUGACGGUACCUGCAGAAAAAGCGCCGGCUAACUACGUGCCAGCAGCCGCGGUAAUACGUAGGGCGCAAGCGUUAUCCGGAAUUAUUGGGCGUAAAGAGCUCGUAGGCGGUUUGUCGCGUCUGCUGUGAAAUCCCGAGGCUCAACUUCGGGUCUGCAGUGGGUACGGGCAGACUAGAGUGCGGUAGGGGAGAUUGGAAUUCCUGGUGUAGCGGUGGAAUGCGCAGAUAUCAGGAGGAACACCGAUGGCGAAGGCAGAUCUCUGGGCCGUAACUGACGCUGAGGAGCGAAAGGGUGGGGAGCAAACAGGCUUAGAUACCCUGGUAGUCCACCCCGUAAACGUUGGGAACUAGUUGUGGGGUCCAUUCCACGGAUUCCGUGACGCAGCUAACGCAUUAAGUUCCCCGCCUGGGGAGUACGGCCGCAAGGCUAAAACUCAAAGGAAUUGACGGGGACCCGCACAAGCGGCGGAGCAUGCGGAUUAAUUCGAUGCAACGCGAAGAACCUUACCAAGGCUUGACAUAUACGAGAACGCUGCAGAAAUGUAGAACUCUUUGGACACUCGUAAACAGGUGGUGCAUGGUUGUCGUCAGCUCGUGUCGUGAGAUGUUGGGUUAAGUCCCGCAACGAGCGCAACCCUCGUUCUAUGUUGCCAGCACGUCAUGGUGGGAACUCAUGGGAUACUGCCGGGGUCAACUCGGAGGAAGGUGGGGAUGACGUCAAAUCAUCAUGCCCCUUAUGUCUUGGGCUUCACGCAUGCUACAAUGGCCGGUACAAAGGGCUGCAAUACCGUGAGGUGGAGCGAAUCCCAAAA